UAUAGUGACCACCUCCCAUCUUUUCUAUCUUUUCAAUUCAGAACAUAACAGUAAUAAUGGCUCCUCUCUCCUCUCCUUUCCCUUUCUUUCUUCUCUUUUCUGCUCCACCACCACCAUAGCCGACAAACUCCAACCACCCUCCGCACGACCCAUCUCCUCCACCCCCAAAAACCCGCCAACUCUACAGUGACGGUGAAAUCAAGCACUAUUUGGUACAAAAAAUUCAAACCGCCAUUGAUGGUCAUCUUUUCAAAUUGCAGAUCUUUUUAUUUUUGGUUAAAUUUGAGUUUCGAAUCCUGACUUUCAAGUACGGAUUCACCUAUAAAUUGUGUUCUCAUUGUCUCUAGAGCAGAGGUCGGAAAAUUGGAGGAAAAAAAUUGAAACAAGCUCUGAGAUAAGGGGGGAAGAUUGGAGAGGGAGUUAAAAAUAUUUUUUUUUUGAGUUUUCGGAUCCGUUGGCAAGAAAAAGAAAAUUCAUCGGUGAAUUUAUUGUUUCCCUUUCUAUUUUGUUACAAGUUUGGAAUCCUAGUUGGGUUCAUAGUCGCCGGAAAGCUUUGUCGUUAAAGAUCCAGUUUGCUGCCCAACACAAGGAGUUGGGGUUCUGCAACGGAACUCAUCUCGACCCAACAUUGGGUCAAUGCUACUAGGAGCAAAGCUUCGGAGUCGAGCAAAUUAGAAGCCCAACUCAUAAAUGGAGUCUAGUAUCUCUUAUCUUCUUUGAAUUUAAUUUAUAUUUGUCAUGUUGAGUUUUAGAACGACACUAACUCUUGUUAUUGAAUUUUUUUUUAG